rnacentral:pre_miRNA from 1 species
GUGGGGCCGCGAAUGGCGCGGCAGGAAGAUCCGCUUAUUCUGCGACAAUCUUGGCCUCGUCG